AACGAACGCUGGCGGCAUGCCUAACACAUGCAAGUCGAACGAACUCUUCGGAGUUAGUGGCGCACGGGUGCGUAACGCGUGGGAAUCUGCCCUUGGGUACGGAAUAACUCAGAGAAAUUUGUGCUAAUACCGUAUAAUGUCUUCGGACCAAAGAUUUAUCGCCCAAGGAUGAGCCCGCGUAAGAUUAGCUUGUUGGUGAGGUAAAAGCUCACCAAGGCGACGAUCUUUAGCUGGUCUGAGAGGAUGAUCAGCCACACUGGGACUGAGACACGGCCCAGACUCCUACGGGAGGCAGCAGUGGGGAAUAUUGGACAAUGGGCGAAAGCCUGAUCCAGCAAUGCCGCGUGAGUGAUGAAGGCCUUAGGGUUGUAAAGCUCUUUUACCCGGGAUGAUAAUGACAGUACCGG
rnacentral:rRNA from 1 species